rnacentral:lncRNA from 1 species
CCAACACCGCGAGGCAAAGGCGCGCUCUGCUCACUUCCAUGAAAGGUUCGGAAUGGAGCUUGGCCCCCGGGGCUCGAAUCGCUCACUUCUCCGUUAGGUUAAGCUGGCCAUGGGCCAGCUAGAUUCGAGAUUCUUUCUGAACCCUCAGGGCGAACAGGCUACCUGCCCCGGUGCGGCCCGCGGGGCUGUGUGGAACAGUUGGCCUCUCUGCGAAUGCUUGAGUGCCACCCAGAGGGGACCCGCCCGGCCACCGCCGCCCGCCUGGAGAGGAGGGCCGAAGGACACCCGACGCAAACCUGUCUCCCCGGCGCUCGGAGAAGGGCUUUCACAAACAACCCACGCAUCCCCAGCGCCGAAAUCCGGGCUGGUGGAAGAGGUUACUGUCCUACCCUAGCUAACAGCUACUCUUUAUUGAACUCUUCUCAUCUCUACAGCCUCCAUAAAAAUAUAAUUUACCACCUUUUGAGCACCUGCUAUGUGUUAUUUAGACUUUGUGGCAACUCCAUGAGGAACAAAAGCGAAGUUUGUUAUUUGUUCAUUCCUUGCAUUUGAAGUCCUCCGUCUCGACAUCAUCCUUGGCCUGAAACUCUGCUCAAGUCCUUAACCACACGACGGCAACCAGCCACUCCAGGUGGGUUUGCCUCUUGUCAGUUUUACACAGGUUUACCCAGUCCCCUAGUUACUUGUCCUCAGCAGCCUUAAUUAGGCUGCUUUGGUGUUCAGCACAAAGGGCCUCCAUCAGCUGACAGACAGGCUCAUCCCAGUUGGAUGCAAGCUCACAAAGGGAGGCUUUAACAAUUUCUUGAAUUCCAUUUGCUAGGCCAUCCCCGACGGGACAGUCUUCAGCACCCCUUGUAAAGCCAUGGCUCUGGGUUCCUAGGGGAGCCAAAUCUUGAAUUCACUGGAGCCUCCGGGUGACUGAGGGUGGUAGGGAAAAGAGCUAGACUUCUCAUUAGGACCUUCCUGUGUUUUGCCCAAAUUUCCAUAACAAGGAUGAUUUGCUUUAAAAUUUGGCAAAACAGUAAGAAAACAGCAAGAGUUAUUCAUUGAAAAUGCAUGUUAUUCAGGAACAUUGGG